rnacentral:rRNA from 1 species
UUAGCGGCGGANGGGUGAGUAACACGUGGGCAACCUGCCCCUUAGACUGGGAUAACUCCGGGAAACCGGAGCUAAUACCGRAUAAUCCCUUUCUCCACCUGGAGAGAGGGUGAAAGAUGGCUUCGGCUAUCACUARGGGAUGGGCCCGCGGCGCAWUAKCUAGUUGGUAAGGUAACGGCUUACCARGGCAACGAUGCGUASCCSACCUGAGAGGGUGAUCGGCCACACUGGGACUGAGACACGGCCCASACUCCUACGGGAGGCAGCAGUAGGGAAUCUUCCGCARUGGACGAAAGUCUGACGGAGCAACGCCGCGUGAGUGAGGAAGGCCUUCGGGUCGUAAAGCUCUGUUGUGAGGGAARAAGCGGUACCGUUCRAAUAGGGCGGURCCUUGACGGUACCUCACCAGAAAGCCACGGCUAACUACGUGCCAGCAGCCGCGGUAAUACGUAGGUGGCAAGCGUUGUCCGGAAUUAUUGGGCGUAAAGCGCGCGCAGGCGGCUUCUUAAGUCUGAUGUGAAAUCUCGGGGCUCAACCCCGAGCGGCCAUUGGAAACUGGGGAGCUUGAGUGCAGAAGAGGAGAGUGGAAUUCCACGUGUAGCGGUGAAAUGCGUAGAGAUGUGGAGGAACACCAGUGGCGAAGGCGACUCUCUGGUCUGUAACUGACGCUGAGGCGCGAAAGCGUGGGGAGCAAACAGGAUUAKAUACCCUGGUAGUCCACGCCGUAGACGAUGAGUGCUAGGUGUUAGGUGUUUCGAUGCCCGUAGUGCCGAAGUUAACACAUUAAGCACUCCGCCUGGAGAGUACGGCCGCAAGGCUGAAACUCAGAGGAAUUGACGGGGACCCGCACAAGCAGUGGAGCAUGUGGUUUAAUUCGAAGCAACGCGAAGAACCUUACCAGGUCUUGACAUCCUUUGACCACCCAAGAGAUUGGGCUUCCUCUUCGGGGGCAAAGUGACAGGUGGUGCAUGGUUGUCGUCAGCUCGUGUCGUGAGAUGUUGGGUUAAGUCCCGCAACGAGCGCACCCUUGAUCUUAUUGCCAGCAUUGAGUUGGGCACUCUAAGGUGACUGCCGGUGACAACCGGAGRAAGGUGGGGAUGACGUCAAUCAUCA